rnacentral:rRNA from 8 species
GUUGCAAAAGAAGUAGGUAGCUUAACCUUCGGGAGGGCGCUUACCACUUUGUGAUUCAUGACUGGGGUGAAGUCGUAACAAGGUAACCGUAGGGGAACCUGCGGUUGGAUCACCUCCUUACCUUAAAGAAGC